UACGAAGGGGGCUAGCGUUGUUCGGAAUUACUGGGCGUAAAGCGCGCGCAGGCGGCUAUCCAAGUCAGUGGUGAAAGCCCGGAGCUCAACUCCGGAACUGCCAUUGAAACUGUUUAGCUUGAGGAUGAGAGAGGUGAGUGGAAUUCCCGGUGUAGUGGUGAAAUGCGUAGAUAUCGGGAGGAACACCAGUGGCGAAGGCGACUUCCUGGCCUGUUCUUGACGCUGAGGCGCGAAAGCUAGGGGAGCAAACGGG
rnacentral:rRNA from 1 species